rfam:Sorghum bicolor cultivar BTx623 chromosome 8, whole genome shotgun sequence.
GUAGUCGGAUUCACAUCAAUUCAUAUAUAUUGGGGUGAGUUGGAGUGGAACUUGAACUAAAUUCCAUCCUAAUCCACUCCAACACAUGUGACUUGAGAUGAAUCCGACA